rnacentral:rRNA from 1 species
UGGGGAAUCUUGCACAAUGGGGGCAACCCUGAUGCAGCGACGCCGCGUGAGCGAUGAAGGUUUUCGAAUCGUAAAGCUCUGUCCUAUGGGAAGAUAAUGACGGUACCAUAGGAGGAAGCCCCGGCUAACUACGUGCCAGCAGCCGCGGUAAUACGUAGGGGGCGAGCGUUGUCCGGAAUUACUGGGCGUAAAGGGUUCGCAGGCGGCAUGGCAAGUCCGAUGUAAAAGGCGAAGGCUCAACCUUCGUAAGCAUCGGAAACUGUCAAGCUUGAGUGAAAGAGAGGCAAGUGGAAUUCCUAGUGUAGCGGUGGAAUGCGUAGAUAUUAGGAGGAAUACCGGUGGCGAGGGCGUCUUGCUGGACUUCAACUGACGCUGAGGAACGAAAGCGUGGGUAGCAAACAGG